rnacentral:rRNA from 1 species
GAUGAACGCUGGCGGCGUGCUUAACACAUGCAAGUCGAACGAAGCACUUUAUUUGAUUUCCUUCGGGAUUGAUUAUUUUGUGACUGAGUGGCGGACGGGUGAGUAACGCGUGGGUAACCUGCCUUGUACAGGGGGAUAACAGUUGGAAACGGCUGCUAAUACCGCAUAAGCGCACAGCAUCGCAUGAUGCAGUGUGAAAAACUCCGGUGGUAUAAGAUGGACCCGCGUUGGAUUAGCUAGUUGGUGAGGUAACGGCCCACCAAGGCGACGAUCCAUAGCCGACCUGAGAGGGUGACCGGCCACAUUGGGACUGAGACACGGCCCAAACUCCUACGGGAGGCAGCAGUGGGGAAUAUUGCACAAUGGGCGAAAGCCUGAUGCAGCGACGCCGCGUGAGCGAAGAAGUAUUUCGGUAUGUAAAGCUCUAUCAGCGGGGAAGAUAAUGACGGUAC